UGUUCUGUAGCUUAGUUGGUUGAAGCGGCGGUCGGUUAAAGCGUACACGGAGUCGUGAGUUCGAGUCUCACUAAAACGC
rnacentral:tRNA from 1 species